UACGAAGGGGGCUAGCGUUGUUCGGAAUCACUGGGCGUAAAGCGCACGUAGGCGGAUCUUUAAGUCAGAGGUGAAAUCCCAAGGCUCAACCUUGGAACUGCCUUUGAUACUGGGGAUCUUGAGUCCGGGAGAGGUGAGUGGAACUGCGAGUGUAGAGGUGAAAUUCGUAGAUAUUCGCAAGAACACCAGUGGCGAAGGCGGCUCACUGGCCCAUAACUGACGCUGAGGCACGAAAGCGUGGGGAGCAAACAGG
rnacentral:rRNA from 1 species